UCUGUUCGCACCCCGUUUAUUUAUCAGCAGACUUAUGACGUCGGCGGUCGAUUUACGUCACGGGACAUGACGUCAUCACUGCAAGCUACGUGCUACGUGAAAGAGACAUAUAUGAUGCUGUACUGACAUUGGUGGCGCACAUAAACAAAUGCUCUCCGCACUGUUUUGUGUGUUUAUUGUUUCACAUAGGUGAUUUAUCGCUGCUUAGGGCCAGCGGCCCAUCGGACAGCCUUGAGAAGACCGCCGCACGCUGUUUGCAGUCCGUCGACCACCUGUCUUCAACGGACGGACGCCCUCGGUCCCACUCAGCAAUUGACUGAAGCCUAUCGCGCCGAUAUGCUCGCUCAUCUUCCAUCCUCCCUCGCCCUGCCUGAUGGUUUCGACGACCCGGGCUGUGGUCCCUGAGUUUCGGAACCCGUCUCGCUGGCCUGCCAGCAGGAGGCCUGGCGCUCGUCGCAGACGAGCGCUGCAGUGUGGCCAAAUGCCUUUAAUUUUUUGGCAUUGAUUCGUUGUGUGACGUUGUUUUGUUCGCAUGUGGCCAUGUGGAUAAGGCUACUGGCCAGUGGCCAUAGCCUUAUCCUUCUCGUUAAAUUUGUUAUCUGGAAAUAAAUGUCACCACUCACCAUAAA